CGGUUAAGUUAGAAAGGGCGCACGGUGGAUGCCUUGGCACUAGGAGCCGAUGAAGGACGGGACGAACACCGAUAUGCUUCGGGGAGCUGUAAGCAAGCUUUGAUCCGGAGAUUUCCGAAUGGGGAAACCCACCACUCGUAAUGGAGUGGUAUCCAUAUCUGAAUACAUAGGGUAUGAGAAGGCAGACCCGGGGAACUGAAACAUCUAAGUACCCGGAGGAAGAGAAAGCAAAUGCGAUUCCCUGAGUAGCGGCGAGCGAAACGGGACCAGCCCAAACCAAGAGGCUUGCCUCUUGGGGUUGUAGGACACUCUGUACGGAGUUACAAAGGAACGAGGUAGAUGAAGAGGUCUGGAAAGGCCCGCCAUAGGAGGUAACAGCCCUGUAGUCAAAACUUCGUUCUCUCCUGAGUGGAUCCUGAGUACGGCGGAACACGUGAAAUUCCGUCGGAAUCCGGGAGGACCAUCUCCCAAGGCUAAAUACUCCCUAGUGACCGAUAGUGAACCAGUACCGUGAGGGAAAGGUGAAAAGCACCCCGGAAGGGGAGUGAAAGAGAUCCUGAAACCGUGUGCCUACAAGUAGUCAGAGCCCGUUAACGGGUGAUGGCGUGCCUUUUGUAGAAUGAACCGGCGAGUUACGAUCCCGUGCAAGGUUAAGCAGAAGAUGCGGAGCCGCAGCGAAAGCGAGUCUGAAUAGGGCGAAUUGAGUACGUGGUCGUAGACCCGAAACCAGGUGAUCUACCCAUGUCCAGGGUGAAGUUCAGGUAACACUGAAUGGAGGCCCGAACCCACGCACGUUGAAAAGUGCGGGGAUGAGGUGUGGGUAGGGGUGAAAUGCCAAUCGAACCUGGAGAUAGCUGGUUCUCUCCGAAAUAGCUUUAGGGCUAGCCUCAAGGUAAGAGUCUCGGAGGUAGAGCACUGAUUGGACUAGGGGCCCCUACCGGGUUACCGAAUUCAGUCAAACUCCGAAUGCCGAUGACUUAUCCUUGGGAGUCAGACUGCGAGUGAUAAGAUCCGUAGUCGAAAGGGAAACAGCCCAGACCGCCAGCUAAGGUCCCAAAGUAUACGUUAAGUGGAAAAGGAUGUGGAGUUGCUUAGACAACCAGGAUGUUGGCUUAGAAGCAGCCACCAUUUAAAGAGUGCGUAAUAGCUCACUGGUCGAGUGACUCUGCGCCGAAAAUGUACCGGGGCUAAACGUAUCACCGAAGCUGCGGACUGUUCUUCGAACAGUGGUAGGAGAGCGUUCUAAGGGCUGUGAAGCAAGACCGGAAGGACUUGUGGAGCGCUUAGAAGUGAGAAUGCCGGUAUGAGUAGCGAAAGAGGGGUGAGAAUCCCCUCCACCGAAUGCCUAAGGUUUCCUGAGGAAGGCUCGUCCGCUCAGGGUUAGUCGGGACCUAAGCCGAGGCCGAAAGGCGUAGGCGAUGGACAACAGGUUGAUAUUCCUGUACCACCUCCUCACCAUUUGAGCAAUGGGGGGACGCAGGAGGAUAGGGUAAGCGCGGUAUUGGAUAUCCGCGUCCAAGCAGUUAGGCUGGGAAAUAGGCAAAUCCGUUUCCCGUGAAGGCUGAGCUGUGAUGGCGAGCGAAUUAUAGUAGCGAAGUUCCUGAUUCCACACUGCCAAGAAAAGCCUCUAGCGAGGUGAGAGGUGCCCGUACCGCAAACCGACACAGGUAGGCGAGGAGAGAAUCCUAAGGUGAUCGAGAGAACUCUCGUUAAGGAACUCGGCAAAAUGACCCCGUAACUUCGGGAGAAGGGGUGCUCUGUUAGGGUGCAAGCCCGAGAGAGCCGCAGUGAAUAGGCCCAGGCGACUGUUUAGCAAAAACACAGGUCUCUGCGAAGCCGUAAGGCGAAGUAUAGGGGCUGACGCCUGCCCGGUGCUGGAAGGUUAAGAGGAGCGCUUAGCGUAAGCGAAGGUGCGAAUUGAAGCCCCAGUAAACGGCGGCCGUAACUAUAACGGUCCUAAGGUAGCGAAAUUCCUUGUCGGGUAAGUUCCGACCCGCACGAAAGGCGCAACGAUCUGGGCACUGUCUCAACGAGAGACUCGGUGAAAUUAUAGUACCUGUGAAGAUGCAGGUUACCCGCGACAGGACGGAAAGACCCCGUGGAGCUUUACUGCAGCCUGAUAUUGAAUGUUGGUACAGCUUGUACAGGAUAGGUAGGAGCCUUGGAAACCGGAGCGCCAGCUUCGGUGGAGGCAUCGGUGGGAUACUACCCUGGCUGUAUUGACCUUCUAACCCGCCGCCCUUAUCGGGCGGGGAGACAGUGUCAGGUGGGCAGUUUGACUGGGGCGGUCGCCUCCUAAAAGGUAACGGAGGCGCCCAAAGGUUCCCUCAGAAUGGUUGGAAAUCAUUCGCAGAGUGUAAAGGCACAAGGGAGCUUGACUGCGAGACCUACAAGUCGAGCAGGGACGAAAGUCGGGCUUAGUGAUCCGGUGGUUCCGCAUGGAAGGGCCAUCGCUCAACGGAUAAAAGCUACCCCGGGGAUAACAGGCUUAUCUCCCCCAAGAGUCCACAUCGACGGGGAGGUUUGGCACCUCGAUGUCGGCUCAUCGCAUCCUGGGGCUGUAGUCGGUCCCAAGGGUUGGGCUGUUCGCCCAUUAAAGCGGUACGCGAGCUGGGUUCAGAACGUCGUGAGACAGUUCGGUCCCUAUCCGUCGCGGGCGCAGGAAAUUUGAGAGGAGCUGUCCUUAGUACGAGAGGACCGGGAUGGACGCACCGCUGGUGUACCAGUUGUUCUGCCAAGGGCAUCGCUGGGUAGCUAUGUGCGGACGGGAUAAGUGCUGAAAGCAUCUAAGCAUGAAGCCCCCCUCAAGAUGAGAUUUCCCAUUCCGCAAGGAAGUAAGAUCCCUGAAAGAUGAUCAGGUUGAUAGGUCUGAGGUGGAAGUGUGGCGACACAUGGAGCUGACAGAUACUAAUCGAUCGAGGACUUAACCAAUUU
rnacentral:rRNA from 2 species